rnacentral:rRNA from 1 species
AUGAACGCUGGCGGCGUGGAUAAGGCAUGCAAGUCAAACGGUACAAUUUGCGAUUACAUCAAGAAUUGUGCAGUGGCAGACGGGGUAGUAACACGUAGGAACUUACCCCAGAGACGGACAUAACCCCGCGAAAGCGGGGCUAAUUCCCGAUGGACUCCGAGCGAAAGCGAGGAGUAAAUCACUUAGAUUGGCUCUGGGAAAGGCCUGCGGGCUAUCAGCUAGUUGGCGGGGUAAUGGCCCACCAAGGCGACGACGGCUAGGGGGAGUGAGAGCUUGGCCCCCACCAAUGGAACUGCGACACGGUCCAUACACCUACGGGUGGCAGCAGCCGAGAAUAUUCGACAAUGGGCGAAAGCCUGAUCGAGCGACGCCGCGUGCAGGAGGAAGUCCUUCGGGACGUAAACUGCUUUUUUAGGGGAGGAACGAAAGUGACUGUACCCUAAGAAUAAGGGCUUGCUAACCUCGU